UACGUAGGGUGCAAGCGUUAAUCGGAAUUACUGGGCGUAAAGCGUGCGCAGGCGGUUUUGUAAGUCUGACGUGAAAUCCCCGGGCUUAACCUGGGAAUUGCGUUGGAGACUGCAAGGCUAGAAUCUGGCAGAGGGGGGUAGAAUUCCACGUGUAGCAGUGAAAUGCGUAGAGAUGUGGAGGAACACCGAUGGCGAAGGCAGCCCCCUGGGCUAACACUGACGCUCAUGCACGAAAGCGUGGGGAGCAACAGG
rnacentral:rRNA from 1 species